rnacentral:rRNA from 1 species
AUUGAACGCUGGCGGCAGGCCUAACACAUGCAAGUCGGACGGUAGCACAGAGAGCUUGCUCUCGGGUGACGAGUGGCGGGCGGGUGAGUAAUGUCUGGGGAUCUGCCCGAUAGAGGGGGAUAACCACUGGAAACGGUGGCUAAUACCGCAUAACGUCGCAAGACCAAAGAGGGGGACCUUCGGGCCUCUCACUAUCGGAUGAACCCAGAUGGGAUUAGCUAGUAGGCGGGGUAACGGCCCACCUAGGCGACGAUCCCUAGCUGGUCUGAGAGGAUGACCCGCGACACUGGAACUGAGACACGGUCCAGACUCCUACGGGAGGCAGCAGUGGGGAAUAUUGCACAAUGGGCGCAAGCCUGAUGCAGCCAUGCCGCGUGUAUGAAGAAGGCCUUCGGGUUGUAAAGUACUUUCAGCGGGGAGGAAGGCGAUGUGGUUAAUAACCGCGUCGAUUGACGUUACCCGCAGAAGAAGCACCGGCUAACUCCGUGCCAGCCGCCGCGGUAA